CUUUAGCAUCCGUGGAUGCAGUGCCUCCGGCCCCAUGGACUUGUGCUCAUCCAGCUUUUCUAAAUAGUCCUUAACCCAUUCUUUCACCACUGAGGGCUGCUUACCUCCACCCCAUACUGUGCUACCCAGUGCAUCAGUCUGGGAGCUGACCUUGUCUGUGAAGACUGAGGCAAAAAAAGCAUUGAAUACUUCAGCUUUUUCCAUAUUAGCAAAAAAAGCAUUUAGUACUUCAGCUUUUUCCCCAUCCUCUGUCACUAG